rnacentral:rRNA from 1 species
UACGUAUGGUGCAAGCGUUAUCCGGAUUUACUGGGUGUAAAGGGAGCGCAGGCGGCACGGCAAGUCCGGUGUGAAAGCCCGGGGCCCAACCCCGGGACUGCACUGGAAACUGCCGGGCUGGAGUGUCGGAGGGGCAGGCGGAAUUCCUGGUGUAGCGGUGAAAUGCGUAGAUAUCAGGAGGAACACCGGUGGCGAAGGCGGCCUGCUGGACGAUGACUGACGCUGAGGCUCGAAAGCGUGGGGAGCAAACAGG